rfam:Gloeophyllum trabeum ATCC 11539 unplaced genomic scaffold GLOTRscaffold_00004, whole genome shotgun sequence.
GCACUAAUGGGGUAGUGGUAACCUCAGUCGUUGCCACUCGCAGGCUUCAGAUUCGACUGGCCGCGAGUUCGAUUCUCGCUUAGUGCA